CCCUUAGAUGUUCUGGGCCGCACGCGUGCUACACUGAGUGGAUCAGCGGGUCAGGUUGCGCGAAAGCGUUUCCUAAUCUUGAAAUCCGCUCGUGAUGGGGAUUGACGGUUGCAAUUUUCUGUCAUGAACGAGGAAUACCUUGUAAACGCGAGUCAUCAUCCCGCGCUGAAUACGUCCCUGCCCUUUGUACACACCGCCCGUCGCUCCUACCGAUUGAGUGGUCCGGUGAGGCUUUGGGAUCUGAGCGGAAAGAGCGUUUCGCUCGUUCUGCCCGGAAAACUCAGUCGAACCUUAUCAUUUAGAGGAAGGAGAAGUCGUAACA
rnacentral:rRNA from 1 species